rnacentral:rRNA from 1 species
CGUGUAGGCGGAGAUGCAAGUCAGGAGUGAAAUCCCGGGGCUCAACCCCGGAACUGCUUUUGAAACUGCAUCCCUUGAGUAUCGGAGAGGCAAGUGGAAUUCCUAGUGUAGCGGUGAAAUGCGUAGAUAUUAGGAGGAACACCAGUGGCGAAGGCGGCUUGCUGGACGACAACUGACGCUGAGGCGCGAAAGCGUGGGGAGCAAACA